GAUGAACGCUGGCGGCGUGCCUAAUACAUGCAAGUCGAACGAUCCGCAAGGAUAGUGGCGAACGGGUGAGUAACGCGUUGGUGACCUGCCCUGAAGAGGGGGAUAACGGAUCGAAAGGUCCGUUAAUACCGCAUAAGCUCUUGCUAGUUAGAGAGGCAAGAGGAAAGCCGAAAGGCGCUUUAGGAGGGACCUGCGUCCCAUCAGCUAGUUGGUAAGGUAGCGGCUUACCAAGGCGAUGACGGGUAGGGGACCUGAGAGGGUGACCCCCCCACAAUGGAACUGAAACACGGUCCAUACACCUACGGGUGGCAGCAGUAGGGAAUAUUGGUUAAUGGGCGAAAGCCUGACCCAGCAACGCCGCGUGAACGAUGAAGGCCUUCGGUUGUAAAGUUCUUUUGACAGGGAUGAGGAAGGACAGUACCUGUCGAAUAAGUCUCGGCUAACUACGUG
rnacentral:rRNA from 1 species